rnacentral:rRNA from 1 species
ACGGGUGAGUAACGCGUGGGAAUCUACCCAUCUCUACGGAAUAACGCAUGGAAACGUGUGCUAAUACCGUAUACGUCCUUCGGGAGAAAGAUUUAUCGGAGAUGGAUGAGCCCGCGUAGGAUUAGCUAGUUGGUGGGGUAAAGGCCUACCAAGGCGACGGUCCAUAGCUGGUCUGAGAGGAUGAUCAGCCACACUGGGACUGAGACACGGCCCAGACUCCUACGGGAGGCAGCAGUGGGGAAUAUUGGACAAUGGGCGCAAGCCUGAUCCAGCCAUGCCGCGUGAGUGAUGAAGGCCCUAGGGUUGUAAAGCUCUUUCACCGGUGAAGAUAAUGACGGUAACCGGAGAAGAAGCCCCGGCUAACUUCGUGCCAGCAGCCGCGGUAAUACGAAGGGGGCUAGCGUUGUUCGGAUUUACUGGGCGUAAAGCGCACGUAGGCGGACUAUUAAGUCAGGGGUGAAAUCCCGGGGCUCAACCCCGGAACUGCCUUUGAUACUGGUAGUCUUGAGUUCGAGAGAGGUGAGUGGAAUUCCGAGUGUAGAGGUGAAAUUCGUAGA